CAGUAGCCGCGGUAAUACGAAGGGUGCAAGCGUUACUCGGAAUUACUGGGCGUAAAGCGUGCGUAGGUGGUGGUUUAAGUCCGUUGUGAAAGCCCUGGGCUCAACCUGGGAAUUGCAGUGGAUACUGGGUCACUAGAGUGUGGUAGAGGAUAGUGGAAUUUCCGGUGUAGCAGUGAAAUGCGUAGAGAUCGGAAGGAACAUCUGUGGCGAAGGCGACUAUCUGGGCCAACACUGACACUGAGGCACGAAAGCGUGGGGAGCAAACAGGAUUAGAUACCCCAGUAGUCCCUGUCUCUUAUAC
rnacentral:rRNA from 1 species